rnacentral:rRNA from 1 species
UUCGCAAUGCCCGAAAGGGUGACGAAGCGACGCCGCGUGCGGGAAGAAGGCCUUCGGGUUGUAAACCGCUGUCGGGAAUUAGGAAGUGCAAGGAUGUUAAUAGCGUUCUUGCUUGACUAAGGCUCCGGAGGAAGCCACGGCUAACUCUGUGCCAGCAGCCGCGGUAAUACAGAGGCGGCAAGCGUUGUUCGGAAUUAUUGGGCGUAAAGAGCACGUAGGCGGCUGUGUAAGUCGGUUGUGAAAGCCUUCUGCUUAACGGAAGAACGGCAUCCGAUACUGCAUAGCUUGAGUGCGGGAGGGGAGAGUGGAACUUCUGGUGGAGCGGUGAAAUGCGUAGAUAUCAGAAGGAACGUCGGCGGCGAAAGCGACUCUCUGGCCUAUUACUGACACUGAGUGUGCGAAAGUUAGGGGAGCAAACGGGAUUAGAUACCCCGGUAGUCCUAACUGUAAGCGAUGGGCACUAAGUAGAGGGGUUUU